UACGUAGGGUGCGAGCGUUAAUCGGAAUUACUGGGCGUAAAGCGUGCGUAGGCGGUUCGUUAAGUUCGUUGUGAAAGCCCCGGGCUCAACCUGGGAAUGGCAAUGGAAACUGGCGGGCUGGAGUAUGGCAGAGGGGGGUGGAAUUCCGCGUGUAGCAGUGAAAUGCGUAGAGAUGCGGAGGAACACCGAUGGCGAAGGCAGUCCCCUGGGCCUGCACUGACGCUCAUGCACGAAAGCGUGGGGAGCAAACAGG
rnacentral:rRNA from 1 species